ACACACCCAGGAGCUCCAGCCUGUUAUGGGAUGGGCAUCCUACCAGGAACCAAGGAUGCUAAGGUGUAAUGAAGAAUCUCCAGGUGGAGAAAUGAUCCUGAAUUAUCCAGUGGGCCCUACAUGUCACCACAUUGCGAUCCUUCUAAGUAGGAAGCAGAAGAUCUGACACAUGCAGGAGAGGGGAAGGCAAUGUGACCAUGGAGGCAGAGAGGGGAGUGAUGUGGCCACAAACCAAGGAUUGUUGGCAGCUGCCAGUGGCCGAAGGGGCAAUGAAUGGAUUCUCCUUUGGAGCCUCUGGAGGGAGAAUGGCCCUGCUAACACCUUGAUUUUGGCCCAGUGAUACUGAUUUUGGACUUCUGCCCUCUAGAACUGUGAGGGAAUACUUUUCUGUUGCUUUAAGCCAUUGAAUUUAUGAUGAUUUGUUACAGCACCCACAGGAAACAAAUGCAUGGAUCUAACUUGAACCUAGUGAGUUAGAUUACUUCAGGGAAACACAAUAAAUAGUUAACAGGGCUUGUCAGGGGGGUGGGAGUGAGAUGAAAGUGUGAAGGCAACUUCUAUGGUUUACUUUUAUAUUUCCCUAUUUUUCAAAUCUUUUGCAAGAAAAUGAAUUCAUAUACUAUUUUAAAAAACAUAUAAAAUAUGAGCAAAAAGAUUUAUUGUAUCUCUUUAAAAUAAUUUAGAACAAGUAAUGGCUGCAGAACCUUAAAGGGUUUUUCUAGCAUGUUUCCAAGAUACAGUCUUGAUUAUUUGAGAUUGACAUGAAGAUGGCCCAGACUGUGCCACAACACAGCACUUGACACCAAAUGUUAGACUGUAAUGGGCCGUGUGAGUAUUACUCAGUGUGGCCAUUUCAUUAUCAAAUAUCUAUUUAUUUCAGAUUUCAAACACGAAUACAAGCUUCUCCUUUCUUUCCUUCCUUUCUCUUUUUCUCCUUUCUACAGCAAGUUCAGGAAUGUGCUAGGUAUGACCUGGGAUAGAAAGAGCAUAUACUCAGCUUUUGCCUUCAAGAAAAUUGGAUAUUGGCUUGGGAGAUAAGAUAAAUGAAAAGGAAGCAGAUGAUCUGUUAUAGAAGAGAUAACACUGUAAGCCCAAAUGUAUGUGAUUAAGUUCUAAAAGUGUAAACCAAUAGGGAGUGCUGUGAGGUGUCACCACGGGCGCAGAUUGCAGCAGAUCUGACCAUACAAGUGUAAAUAAAACCCUAUUGAAUGCCCCCUCUCCCUCCCCAAUUGUUCUGAGUGGUUGCUUCAAGAUUUCUUCUCAUCGUUCUCAAAUUGUUACUGUGAGAUUAACUGGCAAACAUUUCUCCUUAACAUAAGAAGUGUGAAUGGAAUCCUACCAAGUGAUUUUGCCAAUAGUUCCUAUUCCUGCUGCAAACAGUGGUGUGCUCAGGCUUAAGCUGUAACAUGUCCACACUCACCUGUCACUUGGGAAUGCCUCUGUUGGAAUGCAACAUGCCCACUUAUCACACAGCCGGCAUGAGAGGCAGAGUGGAGUUUAACCAAGCAUUCUGCCCCCAAAGUCUGCAGAUGUAGCCAGUGCCUUCAGAAAAGGGAAGGGAAACUAACCCUGUUGAGUAUCUACUAUGUGCUAGGCAUUCUGUUAAGCACUUUUACACACAUCAUUUAAUCCUCGUGACAGUAUUUAGAAAUAGCUAUCAUUUCCCAGUUCUGUAGAUGAGGAAGAAAAGGUAGGCUCAGAGAGGGUAGGUAAGUUGUCUAAGGUCACAUAGCUGGUACAUAGUAGUAGAGCUAGGGUGCAAACCCAAGAUUUUCUGAGUCCAAAGCACAUGCCUAUUCCAUCAUUUCGGUAAUAAGAAUAAAUGUCUUUCAAAUGUAGUGGUGAGAGAUGAAUAAAAAGCCGUCCUUGGUGAUCCUGGGGAGUCUACACCCUCUGCCUGCCUGGCUCCACAUCAAGCUUGUGUUUGCCAGCACUUACACCCCUGCAUUUCCCUCCAAUCCCUGUCAUCUCCCUUGUGGAGUCCUCUCCUCCUCUCCUACCCGUUGGUCCCCUUUUUCACCCAUCCUUCAGCCAUUUAAUGAUCUCAUCUUUAAUUCCUGUUUAUAACUCCAUGAGCUCCUCGAUCACUGUCUCCUGAGAUGUCCUUUUUGUCACUGGAACUUGUAUUAAAGUGGUUUUGUAAUGGGUAUUUCUGUUUCUUUUGUCCUACUCUGAAUUUCCUGAGGGCAGGGACUACAUCUCUUUUAUUCUUCUAUGUUUCCCUCAGGUUCUGUGGUUAUGCAUUGGCAAUU
rnacentral:lncRNA from 1 species